CCUACGGGAGGCAGCAGUAGGGAAUAUUGCUCAAUGGGGGAAACCCUGAAGCAGCAACGCCGCGUGGAGGAUGAAGGUUUUCGGAUUGUAAACUCCUUUUGUUAGAGAAGAUAAUGACGGUAUCUAACGAAUAAGCACCGGCGAACUCCGUGCCAGCAGCCGCGGUAAUACGGAGGGUGCAAGCGUUACUCGGAAUCACUGGGCGUAAAGAGCGCGUAGGCGGGAUAGCAAGUCAGAUGUGAAAUCCUAUGGCUUAACCAUAGAACUGCAUUUGAAACUGUUAUUCUAGAGUAUGGGAGAGGUAGGUGGAAUUCUUGGUGUAGGGGUAAAAUGCGUAGAGAUCAAGAGGAAUACUCAUGGCGAAGGCGACCUGCUAGAACAUAACUGACGCUGAUGCGCGAAAGCGUGGGGAGCAAACAGGAUUAGAUACCCCAGUAGUC
rnacentral:rRNA from 1 species